rnacentral:rRNA from 1 species
UCUGACGGUACCGUAAGAAUAAGGACCGGCUAACUCCGUGCCAGCAGCCGCGGUAAUACGGAGGGUCCGANCGUUAUCCGGAAUCAUUGGGUUUAAAGGGUCCGUAGCGGGCCUGUAAGUCAGGGGUGAAAGUUUGUGGCUCAACCAUAAAAUUGCCUUUGAUACUGCAGGUCUUGAGUCAUGGUGGGGUUGCCGGAACAUGUGGUGUAGCGGUGAAAUGCAUAGAUAUCACAUAGAACACCGAUCGCGAAGGCAGGUGACCAACCAUGUACUGACGCUGAUGGACGAAAGCGUGGGUAGCGAACGGGAUUAGAUACCCCGGUAGUCCACGCCGUAAACGAUGGAUACUAGCUGUGGGGACUUCGGUCUCCGUGGCCAAGCGAAAGUGAUAAGUAUCCCACCUGGGGAGUACGUUCGCAAGAAUGAAACUCAA